GCCAGCAGCCGCGGUAAUACGGAGGGGGUUAGCGUUGUUCGGAAUUACUGGGCGUAAAGCGUACGUAGGCGGAUUAAUAAGUUAGAGGUGAAAUCCCAGGGCUCAACCCUGGAACUGCCUUUAAAACUGUUAGUCUUGAGAUCGAGAGAGGUGAGUGGAAUUCCAAGUGUAGAGGUGAAAUUCGUAAAUAUUUGGAGGAACACCAGUGGCGAAGGCGGCUCACUGGCUCGAUACUGACGCUGAGGUACGAAAGUGUGGGGAGCAAACAGGAUUAGAUACCCUGGUAGUCCACACCGUAAACGAUGAAUGCCAGACGUCAGCAAGCAUGCUUGUUGGUGUCACACCUAACGGAUUAAGCAUUCCGCCUGGGGAGUACGGUCGCAAGAUUAAAACUCAAAGGAAUUG
rnacentral:rRNA from 1 species